UACGGAGGAUCCAAGCGUUAUCCGGAUUCAUUGGGUUUAAAGGGUGCGUAGGCGGAAUAGUAAGUCAGUGGUGAAAGCCUGUCGCUUAACGACAGAACUGCCAUUGAUACUGCUAAUCUUGAGUACAUAUGAAGUGGGCGGAAUGUGUAGUGUAGAGGUGAAAUUCUUAGAUAUUACACAGAACACCGAUUGCGAAGGCAGCUCACUAAAAUGUAACUGACGCUGAGGCACGAAAGCGUGGGGAUCAAACAGG
rnacentral:rRNA from 1 species